rnacentral:miRNA from 1 species
GUUUGUGGAAACACUACGUAGAUUUAUUUCUGCAAAGCUAUAUUAUUAGCACUGGUGAAGAUCCGGGCUUACGGAUCGAAAGCUUUGCAGAAAUAAAUUUACGUGGUGUUUCCACAAACAAUACUAU